rfam:Lachnospiraceae bacterium ACC2 genomic scaffold supercont1.2, whole genome shotgun sequence.
ACAGCUAGAAUACUCUUGCCGAAGACAGCGGACGCCAAUGGCGUAAGGAACUCUUGUCCGCCGAGGAGGAUGUUCACAUCUGUGAAUAUUACGAACUCGUCUGUCGUGCGGCAGGCGGGUUCUUUUGUUUUGCAA